rnacentral:rRNA from 1 species
UGGGGAAUAUUGCACAAUGGGCGCAAGCCUGAUGCAGCCAUGCCGCGUGUAUGAAGAAGGCCUUCGGGUUGUAAAGUACUUUCAGUAGGGAGGAAGGUGUGAGCGUUAAUAGCGUUCAUAAUUGACGUUACCUACAGAAGAAGCACCGGCUAACUCCGUGCCAGCAGCCGCGGUAAUACGGAGGGUGCAAGCGUUAAUCGGAAUUACUGGGCGUAAAGCGCACGCAGGCGGUUUGUUAAGUUGGAUGUGAAAUCCCCGGGCUUAACCUGGGAACUGCAUCCAAGACUGGCAAGCUAGAGUCUCGUAGAGGGAGGUAGAAUUCCAGGUGUAGCGGUGAAAUGCGUAGAGAUCUGGAGGAAUACCGGUGGCGAAGGCGGCCUCCUGGACGAAGACUGACGCUCAGGUGCGAAAGCGUGGGGAGCAAACAGG